CUGACCUGGACCUGGCUAGGCGGAAGUGUCCGCCAGGCAUAUGCAAACACGCCUGACCGUGGGGGCUUGUUGUAAACCUUUCAAUGACUACUGUCGUAGAGGACUUCAUCUGCUUUUCUACAGAAUCUCAUUCUGUAACCAAGGCUUUGCUUGGAUGGAGCUCAUGUUAAUCCUCCUGCCUGAACCUUCUGAGAUCUGGGAUUACAGGCAUGAGUCACCAUAGCCCUCAGAUGAACUCUUUGCAAUAUGAUUUAAUCAGCAAAGACAAGGCAGGAUCUAUGGGCCGCUUCUGUGCCAGCUUUCCCGUGUCCUGCUGAGCUCGCUCUACUGCUUGAGAUCAGAGGGAUCCAAAUUGAACAAGUGGGAAGUGUACAUUGCCUGAAACCGUGUGUCGCUAACAUUUACCUGCAAAUCCAAAAGGAACAAAUAGGCUGGACUGGAACUUGCUGCUUUUGAACACAGAAUCCUCCUGGCCUUGGUCUCCUGAGAGCUGGGAUUACAGGAAUGUGCCACCAUGUCCAGGGUAGACUCAAUGGAAUCUUAAGGCCUGUGCUUCAACCACAAUGUGAAAGAUGUGCUGUUCUCUUCCCCCAAACCAAUCUAUUUGAAAGAGAAGAAUAGUGGCCCAUGUGUAUAGUGGUCUGUAACUUGGGAUGAUUACUUUGACUGACUAGAGAAGUAGUUCCCAAGGCUUCCGCUCCUUGCUUAGCAUAAGACUGACUUCUGUCCAUCAUAAAUAAGUCAAUUGGGACACUGUCUAACUGCCCGAGUUUAAGCAGUCACUGCACUCUGUGUAAUUUUAAGAAAUUUUAAACUUGGUAUCAAGAAAAAGUAGCUACUAGCUAAACCAGGUAGCAUGGGGCAGUAAUCCCAGCUACUCAGGAGGCUGACUCUGAAGGAUUUCAAAUUCAAGGCCACCUUGGGCAGCUGUUUCAAAAUAUAAUGCAAAAUGGUAGUUGCAGAGGCUGCUCAAUGGUAGAGUGCUUGCCUAAACCUGUGUGAAGUGCCAGGUUCAAUCACCCUGGAAACGUGUGGGGGUGGAGAAGGGGGAGCAAAGAAAUCCACCCUCCAGUCCAAGAUUUGGUAAGCUACAAACCCCAAACUAUCCUCUAUGUUUCUACAGAAAGCAUUAUGGUUCUUCCUUGAAAAGUGUACCCUUCAAUCCAGCCAGGCUUAGUAAUGAACAACAAAGAAAAACCUGAGUCUACUGGAGAGUUAUCACAGCUUUACUUAGUUACAGUGAUGGCAACAGACAUGGAUACCAAGAACAACAAAGGAAAUCUCAUGAAAAUUCUGUGUGCGUGCAUGUGUACAGGUGCCUGUGCCUGCAUGUAGAGACUAGAGGUUGAUGACAGAAAACCAAUUAAUCAGAAACUUCAUGGGAACAGAAGCAUAUAUGAAAAGGUGGAGCAAUAGGGACCUUGUAAUCCUUCUCCAUGCUAUGAAGAAGUCUAUGUCCUUCCCUCCACUUUGACCAAAUUCAAAACUCACCCAUCUUUUCUUCCAAGUUCACUAAUGGAAACUGUUAAGUAAUUCCUAGUGGAUAUUUUAAAGCUUUCUGUGGAGGGCUCAAACUCAUGUGUAUGGCCAUUAGGACCACUCACUCACCAUAACAAGAAAACUGAAGAGGACAGGCAAUGUGAUACGCAGAAAUUAAAAAAGCAUUGCUCACCAUGUUGGCUACUGUACACCGUGAGAGUGAACCCACUGUCAUGUGACCCCUCCAUGCUUAGCUGACCUCUCACAGCAUGAACAUCACGGCUUCUGGUUUUAACAUUUAAAGGCCACAGAUUUUUGUUGUAACACAGCUACCAAAUUAAAGGUAACUAUCUCACCUAGAGCUCAAACAGUGAUGCGCUCCACUCUGGGAUGAACUGUGUUAGAUUAAAGGACAGUUGCUUUGUCAACAUUAUGGGCCCUUGAGAAGGGCUUUUCAAGGGUAAGUUCAUACUUAAUUUCUAU